rnacentral:rRNA from 1 species
AACCGUGUGCUUACAAGUAGUCAGAGCCCGUUAAUGGGUGAUGGCGUGCCUUUUGUAGAAUGAACCGGCGAGUUACGAUUUGAUGCAAGGUUAAGCAGUAAAUGUGGAGCCGUAGCGAAAGCGAGUCUGAAUAGGGCGUUUAGUAUUUGGUCGUAGACCCGAAACCAGGUGAUCUACCCUUGGUCAGGUUGAAGUUCAGGUAACACUGAAUGGAGGACCGAACCGACUUACGUUGAAAAGUGAGCGGAUGAACUGAGGGUAGCGGAGAAAUUCCAAUCGAACCUGGAGAUAGCUGGUUCUCUCCGAAAUAGCUUUAGGGCUAGCCUCAAGUGAUGAUUAUUGGAGGUAGAGCACUGUUUGGACGAGGGGCCCCUCUCGGGUUACCGAAUUCAGACAAACUCCGAAUGCCAAUUAAUUUAACUUGGGAGUCAGAACAUGGGUGAUAAGGUCCGUGUUCGAAAGGGAAACAGCCCAGACCACCAGCUAAGGUCCCAAAAUAUAUGUUAAGUGGAAAAGGAUGUGGCGUUGCCCAGACAACUAGGAUGUUGGCUUAGAAGCAGCCAUCAUUUAAAGAGUGCGUAAUAGCUCACUAGUCGAGUGACACUGCGCCGAAAAUGUACCGGGGCUAAACAUAUUACCGAAGCUGUGGAUUGUCCUUUGGACAAUGGUAGGAGAGCGUUCUAAGGGCGUUGAAGCAUGAUCGUAAGGACAUGUGGAGCGCUUAGAAGUGAGAAUGCCGGUGUGAGUAGCGAAAGACGGGUGAGAAUCCCGUCCACCGAUUGACUAAGGUUUCCAGAGGAAGGCUCGUCCGCUCUGGGUUAGUCGGGUCCUAAGCUGAGGCCGACAGGCGUAGGCGAUGGAUAACAGGUUGAUAUUCCUGUACCACCUAUAAUCGUUUUAAUCGAUGGGGGGACGCAGUAGGAUAGGCGAAGCGUGCGAUUGGAUUGCACGUCUAAGCAGUAAGGCUGAGUAUUAGGCAAAUCCGGUACUCGUUAAGGCUGAGC